GUUCAUACAUGGGUGCAAGAAUGAUUGCUUUCAAUGAGCCAGACACCAUGCAGUGGAAAGUGGAAACAAAAGAGCAUUCAAAGCAAACUGAUUCUUUCAAUUGUGGAGUCUAUUGCCUUUUGUGUACCUAACGGAACAUUGUCCUACAUGUGGAUUUGUGACAAGGAGAGAUGUAAGGGAGAUUCAUUGUGAAAAAUGCAACAGAGAGUUCCAUAAAAAACCCCACUGUGUUGGGGAGGAAAACAUGUGCAAAUAUAGCUUU